AUGAACGCUAGCGACAGGCCUAACACAUGCAAGUCGAGGGGCAUCAGGUAUCAGCUUGCUGAUACGCUGGCGACCGGCGCACGGGUGAGUAACGCGUAUGCAAUCUGCCUGUAACAGGGGGAUAACCCGGAGAAAUCCGGCCUAAUACCCCAUAAGGAUGUCUGUCCGCAUGGGCGGUCAUCUAAAGGUUUUCCGGUUACAGAUGGGCAUGCGUUCCAUUAGCUGGUUGGCGGGGUAACGGCCCACCAAGGCGACGAUGGAUAGGGGUUCUGAGAGGAAGGUCCCCCACACUGGUACUGAGACACGGACCAGACUCCUACGGGAGGCAGCAGUGAGGAAUAUUGGUCAAUGGGCGUAAGCCUGAACCAGCCAAGUCGCGUGAAGGAAGACAGCCCUACGGGUCGUAAACUUCUUUUGUAUGGGAGUAAAAGAGUCCACGCGUGGGCUAUUGCAAGUACCAUACGAAUAAGCAUCGGCUAACUCCGUGCCAGCAGCCGCGGUAAUACGGAGGAUGCGAGCGUUAUCCGGAUUUAUUGGGUUUAAAGGGUGCGUAGGCGGCCCUAUAAGUCAGCGGUGAAAUGUUCCGGCUCAACCGGGAAACUGCCGUUGAAACUGUAGAGCUAGAGUCCACAAGAGGUAUGCGGAAUGCGUGGUGUAGCGGUGAAAUGCAUAGAUAUCACGCAGAACCCCGAUUGCGAAGGCAGCAUACUGGGGUGAAACAGACGCUGAAGCACGAAAGCGUGGGUAUCGAACAGGAUUAGAUACCCUGGUAGUCCACGCCGUAAACGAUGAAUACUAACUGUUUGCGAUAUACAGUAAGCGGUACAGCGAAAGCGUUAAGUAUUCCACCUGGGGAGUACGCCGGCAACGGUGAAACUCAAAGGAAUUGACGGGGGCCCGCACAAGCGGUGGAUUAUGUGGUUUAAUUCGAAGCAACGCGAAGAACCUUACCAGGUCUUGACAUCGAUCUAAAGGCUCCAGAGAUGGAGAGAUAGCUAUAGAGAAGACAGGUGGUGCAUGGUUGUCGUCAGCUCGUGUCGUGAGAUGUUGGGUUAAGUCCCGCAACGAGCGCAACCCUUAUCGAUAGUUACUACCAGGUCAAGCUGAGGACUCAAUCGAGACUGCCAGCGUAAGCUGCGAGGAAGGUGGGGAUGACGUCAAAUCAGCACGGCCCUUACGUCCGGGGCGACACACGUGUUACAAUGGCAGGGACAGCGAGUAGCCAGGCAGCAAUGCCGCGCCAAUCUCGAAACCCUGUCCCAGUUCGGAUCGGAGUCUGCAACCCGACUCCGUGAAGCUGGAUUCGCUAGUAAUCGCGCAUCAGCCAUGGCGCGGUGAAUACGUUCCCGGGCCUUGUACACACCGCCCGUCAAGCCAUGGGAGCCGGGAGUACCUGAAGUAUGCAACCGCGAGGAGCGUCCUAGGGUAAUACUGGUGACUGGGGCU
rnacentral:rRNA from 1 species